UGUCAUAUCGAUACCUUUUAAUCAAUACUUGAUCAAUAAGUUUCCAUUAUGUCUGAAGUGACCUUUAAAUAUGCUAUAAUGCCUCCGUUACCCUUUACACCUAGAGAUUUAAAAAUCCCCCAGUUAUGUCGUGAAAACUAUGGAGGAGCAAGUCUGCUGUAGGGAAAGAUGUCUAUACGGUUAAUUUUUAAAGCAAAUAUUGAUUUUUACCAUGUAAAGGAUCAGCUAACUGCCUGUAGAUAAGGCGACAGGGAACCUGUCACUGCAGUCAGGGAUUAAGGAGGGGAUAAUCUCCCUUUGAUAAUCUGUCCUCAGUCAAGGACACAGAUUAUUCGGGGCACAAUGAGAGGGUGAUCCAAGUCUUGUGGAGUGGCACCCAUGGUAUGAGGCGGACAGAUACAAGGGCCUGUGAAUUGGCUUGGGGUUCAUGACCUUUGACCUGCUGAUGCUUUUUUUAAUGAUGUCCGGGUUAGAAAUUACAGAUGAGGUUUAUACCCGCUUGUGCUGUAGCAAAGCCUUCAUUAUCUUCUUCAGGCAUUUCUCCAGCACCAAACUCAUGGACCAUCUCCAGACUAUGUGUCAUCUGAUUGGUCACUUCUACGUCAUGUGAUCCAGGUCUGGUCUUUGCGACAAACAGAUGAAGUUUAUUGACAACUUCCUCACCUCCUUUGCUUGAAGAGCGAACAAGAGAGUUAACUCCAAUUCUUCACUGGUCAUCAGAAGAUGAUCGAAUUUGUGAUCCAUUUAGGAGAUGAAUUCCACUACCUUUUAGAAUGUGCUUUUUUCAAAAGAAAACGAAAUAAACUUGUUCCAAAUAUUUUUUUUAUGCAAACCCUAAUUAAUGUUAUCAAAUUUCAUGACCUGUUAAAUAAGGACACUCUUGAAAGUCAUUUUUGGACUUCCCAAAUUUUGCAAACUUUUAUUGUCAGUAAUGAAUUAAUAAUAACAAAACUAAUGUGUAACAUAUGUUGUAAUACAUAUAGAUUUAUUUUAUACUAGCAGAGGCCUUCUAUACUUUGAUGAACUAUACAUGUAUAUAAUUAGUGCCACUCAUUCGUCAGCUGUUCACGCGUUCAUGCUUAUAUAUAUGUUAUUUUGUUGUAUCAUUUCAUCAUUUCUAUUCAUAUACCCCAGUUGGGGUCUUUUUCUUAAAUAAAAACUUGAAACUUG